UUACGGUCAUAUCACGUUGAAACACCUGUUACCGUACGAAGACCGAAGUUAAGCAAUAUCGAGCCUUCUCAGCAACUAGAUGGGUGACCGCUUGGGAAUACCAGAUG